UAAAGAUUAUAUCUUUUAUUAGAAA
rnacentral:tRNA from 1 species